rnacentral:rRNA from 1 species
UAGGGAAUCUUCCACAAUGGACGCAAGUCUGAUGGAGCAACGCCGCGUGAGUGAAGAAGGGUUUCGGCUCGUAAAGCUCUGUUGGUAGUGAAGAAAGAUAGAGGUAGUAACUGGCCUUUAUUUGACGGUAAUUACUUAGAAAGUCACGGCUAACUACGUGCCAGCAGCCGCGGUAAUACGUAGGUGGCAAGCGUUGUCCGGAUUUAUUGGGCGUAAAGCGAGUGCAGGCGGUUCAAUAAGUCUGAUGUGAAAGCCUUCGGCUCAACCGGAGAAUUGCAUCAGAAACUGUUGAACUUGAGUGCAGAAGAGGAGAGUGGAACUCCAUGUGUAGCGGUGGAAUGCGUAGAUAUAUGGAAGAACACCAGUGGCGAAGGCGGCUCUCUGGUCUGCAACUGACGCUGAGGCUCGAAAGCAUGAGUAGCGAACAGGAUUAGAUACCCUGGUAGUCCAUGCCGUAAACGAUGAGUGCUAAGUGUUGGGAGGUUUCCGCCUCUCAGUGCUGCAGCUAACGCAUUAAGCACUCCGCCUGGGGAGUACGACCGCAAGGUUG